rnacentral:tRNA from 1 species
GGUUCUGUGGUCUAGGGUUAUGGCAUCUCUUCAACACCGAGAAGAUCCCCGGUUCGAUCCCAAGCAAAACCA